UACGGAGGAGGCAAGCGUUAUCCGGAAUUAUUGGGCGUAAAGCGUCCGCAGGUGGCGAUUCAAGUCUGCGGUCAAAGACUGGGGCUUAACCCUGGAAAGGCCGUGGAAACUGAAAAGCUAGAGUGCAGUAGGGGUAGAGAGAAUUCCCGGUGUAGCGGUGAAAUGCGUAGAGCUCGGGAAGAACAUCGGUGGCGAAAGCGCUCUGCUGGACUGCAACUGACACUCAGGGACGAAAGCUAGGGGAGCGAAUGGG
rnacentral:rRNA from 1 species